CCUGGCCUAGGCCGCUGCUUGCCAGCGCGCCGCUCGUGCCUAUUACCCUGUCUAUGUGCACCUUUGUUGUUCCUUCGGCAGUUCGCUGCCGCUGGACUCCUUAAACCCCCCUGUAUUAGCAUCAUACUUCUGAUAACAAACCUAAUCGUUUA
rnacentral:misc_RNA from 1 species